AGGAGGAAGCUGCGGAAGCGUAUGACAUAGCAGCCAUAAAGUUCAGGGGAGUGAAUGCUGUGACCAACUUCGAGAUGAAUCGUUAUGAUGUCGAGGCCAUCAUGAAAAGCUCCCUUCCAGUUGGUGGAACCGCUAAGCGUUUGAAGCUCUCCCUUGAAUCCGAGCAGAAAUCAUCAUCGAGCAAUAACAACAACCAGCAGCAGCAGAUGACUCAAUGCAACAGUAGCAACAACAUCAAUUUCGGGGCAAU
rnacentral:misc_RNA from 1 species